UUGUGAUUCAUGCUCAUUCUUUUUUUCUAUAUAAUCAAACCAUUUUAACACCCACAGUCUCCUUAUCCUAAUUUUAUUUAAUACAUUACUGAAACCUGGCUGAGCAUAGAAGGGAAGAGUUCCCUUUCAGAAACGUGCCUGACUGGGUUUCAUGUGAACUCCAGCUACAAUGGGAGUGCAGGGCAGGAGUGUAAUAAUUGCUAUUUACAGAUUCUGAUAGCUUUCAGGAAGUUUGUUCCACUAAUAACCAGGUAUCAGCCUCCUUGAUGGAAGGGAUGGCAGGAGCAUUUUCAUCUUGGCCUUGGAUAUGGUUGUGUUUUUCCAUUCAAGACUGGUGUAUACACUGGGGUGUCCUUCUGGAUUCACAGCUCCUGCUCUAAGUGCAGGUGGUAGCUGUGGCCUGGCCUGACAGCUGUGGUCUAUGUUCCACUUGCUCCCUUUUCUCAACUGAUGACCACCCUGAUUACCUCACAAUUGGACUCCUGCAAUGUGGUCUAUGUGGGAUUGCCCUUGAAAACCUUCCAGAACCUACACCUAGAAUGCAGUAGCAUGAACAAUUAUAGGCACUUCACAGUAUGCCUAUGUGCCAAUGCUGGUAUGUGAGUUGCAUUGAUUGCUAGUAGGUUUCCUUUGCAAUUCAAUUCAAGGACCAAAGAAGCAUACUUUCUCUGUCAGGACCCCCAUCAUCUGGAACAGCGACUUCUAGGAGAUUCCACCCUCCUGGGAUUUUGGAAACCUUAAGGUUUGUUUUCUGUUUAGGCCUGAAGUUAAUUGACAUGUUUGAAGAACAGAUAAAAUGCUGUAAAUUGGCCAGUAAUGGUGAUAUUUCCUCAUCUUCUGAAAAACCCAUUUAUUCUCUCUCUCGACAAAUCAAGGCAUUGUCAGCCUGCACUCAUCUCGUGGCCAGAGGGGCCCGACCAAUUUCUAGCUGAACGUGAAUACUGGAAUGCAGAUGAGGGUCUUCUAACGAAGCCUUUCAGCGUAGGCAGCUGGUCUUAGCUUGCCUCAAUUUCUAAAUCAUCCAUAAUGGGGCCAGGACCUCCAAAGCACUAAAAAGAGCGAGCUGACAUGCUGGACAAACUGUUAAUUUUUUUUCCUGAAGAAGCUGCGAUAUUGCACAUCUGUCACUGCUAUGAAGACAAUUACUCACAGAGUGGAGAGAAAUCUGCUGCUUGUUUCUAGCAUCGUUGCUAAAUAGCAUAAUGGCACAAUACAAUCGUGUGGGAGAGGCACAGGGUGGGCCUUCUUCCUUCCUUUUAACAAUUCUGCUCAGUUGUUGUCUGCUUCAAUAUUAUGGAACAUUUUGCAGUUGUAAUAAUAUAAGCCCAACACUAUUAAAAGAUAGGUACAGUA